CUCCCCUGUAUACUACCCUGACUGUUUUCAUCCUCCAUCUUCCCUUCACGGGGAGGGUCAGAGCCGCCACCGGUGCUCCCAGGGGUCGCCGCCCAGGAUUCGCCGCCGUCUCUAGGAGGCCGCCGCCCAAGGAAUCUCUGCGGCUGCCCCCAGCAGCUGCCGCCUCCAGGAGCCGCGGGCCGCCACCCCAAGGAGCCGCGCUGCGGCCCCCAGCAGCAGCCGACCCCAGGAGCCGACGUUGCCCCCAGCAGCUGCACUCCCCCCAGGCCCCUACACGCGAGAUCCAGAGGCUCCUGGGGAGAGCGCGUCCCGGACAGAGCGCAGAGGCAACAGCAGCAUCCCCUUCGUCUAGAUCUGAGGCGGCGUGCCUUGGGGGCGUGGCCUGCACCCUUGGCAGCCAGCUCAAGGAGAAGAGUCUAGGAGAAAGAGGAGGUCUAACGGGAGUUAACGGGGCUGUGCAUAAGAUAGAUGGAGGUAGGGGCAAAACCGUCCAUCCAGGUCAAAAAAGGGUUGUAGAAUUUGUAAAUCUAUCAAAUGAGCUGAAAUGACAUUCUAGCGUGAAGAACAACAUUCAUAAGGGCAUUCCAGCGAAGCCCACAACUUUGAUGGCAUUCCAGCGAAAUCCGCUUCCCAUAAGGGCAAAAUCCCAAUUUUCUCGUCUCGAGUCGGAGGAGUCGCAUUCGGCUGCGGGGCGAGGUUGCCACUAGGGUUCGAUAAGGGUGCCGUUGCCGCCGCAGCUAGGUCGCCACUGCUCGUCUCCAAGACCCGGUGAGAGGAGGCUUUGACCCGGCGCUGCGACGGGGCGGCCGGCGCUCAUCUUUGAUUCCUAUCUUCGUCCUCCAAGUUCAACUCCAUCUUCGUCCUGAUGCUCUGAUAAGCUACCCGUGCUUAGUUGGUUCCCAAUGGCAAGCCCGUGCAAAAUUCACGUGCUCUAGAUCUGUUUCUGCUAUGCUCUUCCCUUUGUUUGUUGCUUGAAGAUGGAGAGAAGUUGAAUUCCGAGUAUCUCUUCUUGGGGUGGAUGCUCCACUCCGUUUGCUGUGUUGUGUGGAUCAUUCGAUAGCAAAA